rnacentral:piRNA from 1 species
UACAGAGUGUAAUCACGACUG